rnacentral:rRNA from 1 species
CGCUAAUACCGCAUACGACCUACGGGUGAAAGCAGGGGACCGCAAGGCCUUGCGUCGAUGGAGCGGCCGAUGUCGGAUUAGCUAGUUGGUGGGGUAAAGGCUCACCAAGGCGACGAUCCGUAGCUGGUCUGAGAGGACGACCAGCCCACACUGGGACUGAGACACGGCCCAGACUCCUACGGGAGGCAGCAGUGGGGAAUCUUGGACAAUGGGCGCAAGCCUGAUCCAGCAAUGCCGCGUGUGGGAAGAAGGCCUUCGGGUUGUAAACCACUUUUGGCAGGAAAGAAAUCGUCCGUGCUAAUACCAUGGAUGGAUGACGGUACCUGCAGAAUAAGCACCGGCUAACUACGUG